ACAAGUGGCUCGCGUCAACGCCUCCGUCUCCUCAUUUAACAUUCAAACAAUUAUGACGCUGAAGCGUUCCAAAUGACGCAACAAUACAGCUCCAGACCAGAGAAAGUUCAUGCGGAAGAUAUUCUUCAGUUCAACACUAAAACUGCGCGUUGACACGUGUGAUUUGAGGCUAGAGCUUGAGGACUCAACUCUGAAGACUGUUUCUGAAUUCACUGACCUGAAAUAAAACUUGUAGACCUUUCCUGCAGUCACUGAGGAGAUGGACACCUCUUCUUCUUCUGGACGAUCUCCGUCUCCUACUGGGACUGUCUUCUUACCCCCUCCUAUCAUAUGGAACAGUCUCUACAAGCAGGCAGAGAUGGAGGUUCACUUCCCGAGAGAAGAGAAGAAGACCUGUACAGAGAAGGAAGCCCACAUGCUUGAGUUGAUGGGGAAGGAUCGAACGAUCCGAAAUCAGAAGAAGGAGAUGGACAGACUUCAAGUGUGUCUCUGGGAGGAGGAAAAGAAGAAGAGGAAUGGUGGAUCGGAGAUGGACAAGAUCAUUGAACAAUUACAGUCUGAGUCAGACAAUCUCCGAGCCCUUUUAAAAAAUGAAAGGAGGAGAAGAAGAGUAGAAAGGGGUAUAUUGAAAGAGUGGAAGGCUGAGAUCCUGAGACUGAGGGAGGCAGAGAGCCAGAGGGAGGCAGAGAGCCAGAGAGAGGCAGAGAGCCAGAGAGAGGCAGAGAGAGAGAGAGAUGCAGAGAGAGAGAGAGAUGCAGAGAGAGAGAGAAAGGCAGAGAGACAGAGAGAAGCAGAGAGACACAGAGAAGCAGAGCGAGAGAGGGAAGCAGAGAGACAGAGGGAGGCAGAGAGACAGAGAGAAGUAGAGAGACAGAGGGAGGCAGAGAGACAGAGGGAAGCAGAGAGACAGAGGGAGGCAGAGAGAGCCACAGGAGCAAUGGAGCACCAGAGAAAAAUGCAGGAGAUCCACAGACUCAAACAACUGCUGGAUCUUCUGAUGGUGGACCUACAACUGGCCCACGUAAGACAUGUCAUUGUUAUUAUUAGAAGGCAGUGUAUAUUUACCAGCUGAAAAUGAAUAGUGGCAGACAGCGGUACGCUAACCCAAUGUUAACUUUUAUUCCUUUCCUUAACCCUUACCUUAACCUCACUGAAACUAUACCUGACCUUUACCUGAACCCAACCCUAGGUCCUGAACCUAACCUUCAUUUAUCUCAACCCCUAUGCCUUUCUUCUGCCGGUUGAAUAUCCACUUCCUUAUUAACGUCAUUACUGUUUUUGUUGUUAAUAACUGUAUCUGUGCAGGUUGUAAAUAACUGCAUUAGUGAAGCCUCAUUUGUAGGAGUAAUUUCCAUAAAAUGUCUCGUAAUUUUUUCUAACCAUGAUAAUACAUUAAUUGACAAUGAACUGUCCAGAUGAAUUGAUCAAAAUGACCCUGCUAUUGAUGUUGUCCAGUGUUUGAUUCAAUUACCUAGCUCUAGGUUGUAUUUCUGUGUAUCAUUCUCUGCAAAUCCUUUGAAAGUAUGUCUUGGUAAUAGAUUAUCACUAAUUUAACCUUUUAAAAUGAAGCAAGAGAUUGAGAGAUUGAGGCUAUGGCAGAAAGUUAUGGAGGAUCAGCGACCAAGACUGGCCUGGAACAACAAACCUAUUGAGACAGGAAGAGAGAGGGAAAAAGAGAGAGAAAGGGAGAUGGAAAGGGAGAGAAAAGCAGAAUUGGAAAGACAAGAAAUGAAGAAGAAAAUGGAACAGGCAGAAGAAACGAUAAAAGUGUUAGAACGAGAGAUUGAGAGAUUGAAAGAGAUUGAGAAGGAAAUCAUAUUUGAAAGAGAAAGAGACGUGUGUAUUGCAGAGAAUGAGAAAGUCAAACUGGUUAACGAAAAGGUAAAAGAGUUAGAGAGAGGUU